rnacentral:lncRNA from 1 species
UAAUUUAUUAAAAUAUAAUUUUCUUAUUUCUUUACUUUCUUCUAUACUAUAUGCUCCUUUGUAAUAAUAUUCUUUAAAUGCGCAAGUAUAUUCAUCUAUAUAACACAUAUUACAUAUUGCUAAUUUUAACAUUAAAUUUCUAUUUGUAUCUUUUUCUUCAUUUUGUUCUUCUUCGAUUGUUGUCGUACUACCAAAUUCAUCUUUUAUAGCUGUUUCAUAUUUUUUUAAUAAUUCUAUAGGUGUUAGUUUAGUUGUUGUCGAUGAUGUUCCUUCUAUAGGUUUAUUAGUUCUUAAUACUUUUUUGCUAUUUUCGGUUAGAUUUGCAAACCAUAGUUUUACUGAUCCUAUUAGUGUUUUUUCUAUAUAUUCCGGUGCAUCUGUUAUAUUUAUAUUAUUAUCUAAUAAUUGUUUUGUCAUAUAUCCUAUCCAUAAUUGUAUUGUUUUUUCUGUAUCUAUUACACAGUCUAGAUCUAAAAAGUUAUAAUUUUUAUUCACUAUUUGUUUUGGUAUCCAUUUAUCAUAUUCAUUAUAUUUUUUAAACUUAUUCUUAUAAUAUAUAGGUUUUCUUAUUUCUGUUGUUUUAGGUAUUAUAUUUUCAUUUUCUUUUUUAUCAAGAGUAUUUAUUUCUGUGUGGGUAUUUUCUAAGUUUUCCUCAUAAAUUUUUUGUUCUUCAUUGAUUUCUAAAUUUUUUGUAUUUGUUAAUAUUUCUGUGUAUGUUUCACUAUCUUCGGACUCAUAAUUAUCUGUCUCUUCAAUAUCUAUAUUAUUUAUUUCUAAUUCUUCAUUUUUUAUUUCUAAUUUUUCCUUAAAUUGAUUUAUCUCAUUUAGUAAUUUCUGUUCUCUAUCUUUUUCUUCUUUUUCUUUUUGUCUUUGUUCAUACAGUUCUUUUAACAUUUGUAAUUCUUUUUCUAAUUCAGCAAUUCUACUAUUUUUGGUUUCUUCUAUUUUUCGUAUUUCUUCCGUAGUUUGUUGUUUUAUUUUUUCUAUUUCUUUUUUCCUAUCUAUCUCUUCAUUUUCUUUUUCUAUUCUUACCAUUGCUGUUAAUUUAUCUUCUAAUUUUAAUUCUUCUUUUUCUAACAUUAGAUAUAAAUGUUCACCUAUUUUCUUAUAUCUUCGUCCUAGAUUAGAAAAUACUAUUUUUAUUUUUGAUCCUUCGUAGUUUUCAUAUAUUUUUUCAUCUAUUAUAAAUUCUUCUUUAUUCAUUUUAUUGUGAAUAGGUCAUGUUGAUAUACAUAUUCUAAACUAUCUAUUUGUGAUUCUAAUUUUGAUAUUUCAUCUUUUUGUGUAUUUAUUGAAUUUUCACUGACUCCAGCAAAUAUAUUAUAAUGUAAUCUUUCUAUUCUUAUUUUUAAUUUUUACGUUUUUCAGAAAUAAUUUGUUUUAAUUCUUUGUAUUUCUGCACUUUAUUCAUUUAAACCAUGUUUAUAAUAUCUUAGUGGAUAUCUAAAUCUAAUUUUAUCAUAAUUAGGUGGUAUGUGUUUCAUUCUUCUAGAUUUUAAAUGGAUUAUUAAUUUUGCUUCAAUACCAAAUAUUAAGGUAAUUAGGUAGACUAAUCUUUGUGGGUUUUCUAUUGUUUUAUUUAGACUUGUAUAUUCUGAAUAAUUACUAAUUAAAAAAUCUUUAAUUUUUCUAAAAGUUUCUCUAUUUUUAAAUGGUCUUCUCAUAAUUAAUGCAAUAAACAUAGAUAAAUUCUAACAUGUCUAACAUAUAUCUAAUAUUAAGGUAAUUAGGUAGACUAAUCUUUGUGGGUUUUCUAUUGUUUUAUUUAGACUUGUAUAUUCUGAAUAAUUACUAAUUAAAAAAUCUUUAAUUUUUCUAAAAGUUUCUCUAUUUUUAAAUGGUCUUCUCAUAAUUAAUGCAAUAAACAUAGAUAAAUUCUAACAUGUCUAACAUAUAUCUCUAACAUAUCUAACAUAUAUCUCACAUACAGACAAUAGUUAAAAUUGACAUAGCGUGUAAAUUUUAGUAGAAAGAUCACAAUAAAUUUAAGACGCUAUGGAAAUCACUCUUUCAGUUAUUCACGAGACCAAAUUAGGCUCGCACUGAAUCAUUAAAAAAAAUCAACAAACAAUUAUAACAGUCCUAAAACAAAAUAAAAACUACUAUGCCCAUAUUUAUAGACCCACGUAUUCACACACAAAUAAUUUUUCAGAAAAACAUAUUAUAUCUUAGGAAUAAUUACAGAAAGUAGCAUACUUAAAGACUAUAAUUACACUAAAUAGCAACACUUUUGUAAAAUUACAGUUUAUAGCAAGAGUAACAUUAUUUUACUCAUUAAUUAGGUAAGUCCAUAUUUUACUCUCACCACUUUACAUUUUCUUAUUUUCACUCCACCAUUUCACCUCCCCAAAAUAUAGCUAUAUCUUUUAUCCUUUUUUUUCAUCUUAUUUUUUUUAUUAUUUAUUUUUUUAUUUACUCUCUUCUAUUUCUCUUUUUUUUUUUUUUUUUUUUUUUUUUUUUUUUUUUUUUUUUUUAAUUUUUUUUUAACGUUUUUUUUUUUUUUCAUAUUUGAAGACAAUUAUCUCCAUGAUCUUCAAGAUUUCAAAAUAAAAUAUGUCUUUCACUCUCUUAUCUCUAUACCUUUUUUCUUGUUACUUUUUUUUCAUCUUAUUUUUUUUUAUCAUUUUAUUUUUUUAUUUUUAUUUUUUAUUUUUUAUUUUUUCUUUCCACGUUGUUUUCUCUCUUCUAUUUCUCUUUUUUUUCCUUUUUCGUUUUCGUUUUUUCCUUUCUCAUAUUUUUUUUCUAUUUUUUUCUAUUUUAUUUUGUUUUUUUUUCUUUUAUUUUUACACUUCUAUUUCUCUUUCUUCUUUUUUUUUUUUCUUUUUCACUUCUCUUUUUUUUCAUUUUUUUAUUUUUCUUUUUGUUUUCUUUCCAUUUUUUUUACUCUUCUCUCUCUAACUUUUAUUUUUAAAAAGACAAAUAUGUAUAUCACAUACACAUGUUCAAAAAACAUACAAAAUAUAUAGACAUACAGAUCUGGAUAUGUAUUUACAGUACAAAACAUACAUAUGUAUUUACGAAAUACAUAUGAUAUUAAUAUUAGAUAGUAACAAACAUAACUAUACUAUAUAUCUUCAUAUGUAUUUGCGAAAUACAAAGGUGACUCAUAUAAAAUAAGAAUACACAUAUGAAUCAGGUAUGUAUUAUGUAAAUACAUAUGCAGAGCUACAUGUAUUUUAUACACUGUUCUUAUUUAUUUUCUUUUACUGUUUUAAGAUAUGUAUAUGUAUUUUUUUACUACCUAUAUGUAUAUGUAUAUAAUUUUUAUUUUUGUUAUAGAGAUUUUGGGUCCUAUAUGUUUAUAUAUACAUGUGAGUCAGAUAUGUAUUUCUGUAAAUACAUAUGCAGAUUUGUAUGUCUAUUUAUUUUGUAUAUAUUUUUUAAUAUGUAUAUAUGAUAUAUAAAAGUAAAAGACAGAGAUAGAAGAGUAAAAAAAAUAUAGAAAAAACAAAAACGAAAAAAAUAAAAAUCCAAAAAAAAAGAAGUGAAAAAGGAAAAAAAGAAAAAAGAGAAAUAGAAAUUAGAAAUAGCACAAAAUAAAAAAAAAAAAGAAAACAAAAAAAAAUAUAAGAAAAGGAAAAAAAUGAAAAAAGAAAAAAUAAAUAAAAAAUGAAAAAGGAAAAAAAAAGAGAAGUAGAAGAGAGACAAUAAAGUGGAAAGAAAAAGUGAUAAAGUAAAAAAUUAAAAUAAUAAAAAAAUGAAAAAACUAACAAUAAAAAAUAAUUAGAGAUAUAAGAGGAUGAUAUUUUGAAAUUUUGAAGAUCAUGGAAAUAAUAAUCUUUAUAUUUGAGUUUGAUUUGAAAAAGCAAUCUACUAAUUUAAAUAAGAGUAAUUUGUGGGAAUUUAAUUAGAUGAGAUAAUUAUUCCUUAUUUAACUCAACUAAUUUGAGUAAAAGAAGGAAAGUAAAUCUUAUUGUAUAUGUAUUUGUAUAACAACAGUUUACUUAAAUACAAAUUAUAAUUUGCUAUUUUUCAUAAUUAUGAAACUGUUGCUAUAAAAGUUACAAUUAAGACUCUAUAAUUGUUAUUUAUGAAAAUUUCCAUAUAUUUUAUCCACAAAGGUGAUGAAAAACCAACAGCCAAAUUUUAGAAUAGAAUAAAAAACACACAUUUAUAAACCAAACAAGAUGAAGAAAAGAUGAACAAAGGAAUUAAAGGGGCAGAUUCACACAUAUCAGAACACUUAAGACAAAACCAUAUUCCUAAAUUCAAUUCCAGGAUAAUGAAUAUCAACACCAUAAAUAGACCUAAAAUAAAUUAAAUUACCCAUUCACGACAUUCAAAAAGUGGCCGACAAAAAAAUGUGAAGGCCACAUAAAAGAUGGGUGUUUAUCUUGUGUUGUGCAACAAGCCUAGGACUUCAAUGUCAAGAUUCUGGACACGAAUUCCAGUUACUCCUAAAAUUCAAACUCAAACCCAAGUGAGAUCAAUAAAAGAGAAAGAAAGGUGAGUAAUGGACUUUGUAACUCUUGCUUGUAAGAAUGUACACUCAUUUUUCAAUCUUUCCUCCUAAAAAUUAUUUCAAAUGAAGAAAAUCAUGGGUAUUUAUUGGAAAAUCCGAAUUUCAACAUCCUGAUUUGAAAUCAAGAUUCCAUAGAAACCAACGACUGGAUAUAGAUGAUGAAUUUAAAUUCAAAAAAAUUGAAAGAGAUGACUCCUCUCUCAAUUUAGUCGAAUCUCAGACCUUUAAUGCAAAUUUCAAAUUGAUUUUAGGACCUUGCAUCGAUUUGGUUACUGGUCCUCUGCUUUCAUUGAGAUUUACAGGUUAGGGAUGACUAAAAAUAGGGGGAAUCUCUACAGAGUGCCGCAGGUGGUGACGAUAUGGAUAGGAUUUCUCAUUUGGUGAUAGUGAAGGAGAGGAAGAAGGUGAGAAGAAGAAGGGUCCUUAGUUGUUGUGUUUUUUGGGGAAAUUAAAAGGAAGAGGUCGAUGGGGGUUCUGGAAAAGGUGAAACAUUUCUCUGACUUUGGGGAAAGAGGAGUCAUGCAAUUGGGGUGGGGGGUGUGGUNNNNNNNNNNNNNNNNNNNNNNNNNNNNNNNNNNNNNNNNNNNNNNNNNNNNNNNNNNNNNNNNNNNNNNNNNNNNNNNNNNNNNNNNNNNNNNNNNNNNNNNNNNNNAUUUAUUUAUAAAGCUGAACAACUUAUGGCUCUUAGAUUAAAAUGAUUUUAACGGUCAAGAUGAGUUUGUAUUUGUAAGCUAGGUGACAUGGAGAUAUGUGAUUGGUUAGGAAUAUGUGCCAAGGAUUGAUAACUAGGAUGUGGGUUUGGAUGAGAAAGAGUUUGAUGGACCGGGUUUGAGUCAAAAAUUGGGCCUCUUGGUCCGAAUUUGAUAAGUGACACUUGGAACUGAAUUAUUUCUUGCCCAAAUACUCUUUUUCUCACUAAAAAGUAAUUUUAUCCAUACUUAUUAUUGCCCUAAAAUUAUUUUAACAUAUAUACGUACAAAAAUUCUAUGAAUAAUUUUUGUAUGCACAUAGAAAUAAUUUGAUAAUUAAUUAUAUAUUUUAAAAUAUUUUAAAACAUAGUAGGAAAAAUAAAAUAAAUCUUUUUAUUUUUAUCCUUUCAAAAUUCAUAUAAAUUAAAAUACAAAUUUAUUUAAAAGAAUUAUUUAGGACCAAGAAGUAUAGAAAAGUAAUUAAAUAAAAAAAAGAUGAGCCAAAAUUGAGUGUCAACACCUAGUAUCAUGGUGGACACGCGCAAGUCAUCAAUUGGUAGCAGGUCCUAAAGCUUAACACCUAGGAGAGAUCCUGCUAAAAUGGUUGCUCCACCAAAUCUCAAAGAAGGUCAGUCAACUACUACAAGAUUUCAAAAGGAGUUUAGAAGAAAUGGUGGAUUUUCAAGAAAAAAGAACAUGAGAAAGCACCUAAAUGAAAAUGACUGUUGUUAUAAGUGUGGGAAGCUUGGUCAUUUGUCCAAAGACUGCCUACUCCAUAAGCUUAACUACAAGGACUACAUCAAGAACAAUCCACGAAAAACAAGGAAGAAGGACCUGGUCCUUGAUGAAUUCAAAAGAAGUAUAAGAGAAGUAACAGAGAGUUCUAUAAUGGUGAUAGAAGACAAGUCCUGAGGCUUUGACUCUUUAUUUUCUAUCAAGGACAAGUCGGAUGACGAAGAUGAAGAUGAUGAAGAGGAAAGUAUUUUGAAUAUUUAAGAAAAUCUUUAAAAUUAUUCUUUAAAAGAGCUAAGGUCCUUAGCUAGUGUGUUGAUUGAUGAAUUUUAUGAUCUUACUAAAGAAAAAGAGUCUCUGAAUAAUGAUCUUAUUGAAUUUGAUAAUGAAAAACCAGUCUUGUUUGUCCAAAUCUCUGAAUUAGGAGAAAAAGUUACUCUUUUAUUCUCUGAGAAUAUCACCUUAAAUGAGAAAUUGAAGGUUGUACCUUAAACUGAUCCUAAAGGGAAGGGAAAGGGUAGUGAUCUUCAAUUUGAACUUGAAUCCAAGUUAAAUAAGUCUAAAUUGAAUCUGACAGCCUCCCUAGAGAGAAACAAAGAACUAGAGAGAAACCUGAUUUGAAUCAAAACUGACCUUGAAAAAUUACUCUAUUGGACAGCUUUUUCACAGACCCUUGCUCAACUUGGAAAAAUAAGGUCAAACACUGAAAUCUCCUCUAAGAAGAAGUGUCAAAAUUAUGUUGAGACAUAAAGGUACUCAAGGGGAACUGUUCCCUCAUCCAAAAAAAUAAUUCAUGCCCUAAUAGAUUAUAUGUUGUUGAAAAGUAUAUGAAGCAUGUUAAUACAGAAGAGAACUUAAGAGAACCUGGUCCUAAGUCUAAAAAGAUUAGGUUACCAACUUGUACAAAAAAGAGUUUGAUAUUUCCUCUGUCUUUUUUUUGGAACUUAAGUUAAAAUGGGUUCCUAAACCCAUCAAAUGACCUUUUGUGGAGGGAAGAGUGAGAGAAAGUAGCCAAUAAAUGUUCAUCAAUAAUGGAUAUAAGAAGCACACAAAUUGAUUAAUGAUAUAUUUUCUCUCACUCAAGGUAUAUCAAAGGGGAAGUGUUUCCCUUGAAAAAAAUAAAAGGCAUAUUUUCUUACAUUGGAAAGAUUGAAAAUAUUGGCUUGUGAUAAUGAAAAAUGUGUACUAUGUAAAUGGAUUGAAGUACAGUUGCUCAAAUGUGUCUUAGAUAUGUGCCAAAGGAAAUGAAGUACUUUUGAUGAUGAUACUGAUUUGAGGCUCAAGAACGUAGGACAUACCAACUCCUCUUUCCUAUUGAAGUUGAUCUCAAAGGACCUGAUCCUUGACGUUACCUAAGUUGAAGUUUGCAGACAACUAGACUUUUGGAUCUUAUGAGAAGUGAAAGAAAACCAGGUUCCACAUCAAACAAAUAAACAUUAUUGGUAUCCUUAACCAACCAGACACUGAAUCUACAAUAAUGGGGCACAUGUUGUUUGAGGUGAGUGCACUUUGGCUUUGUAUAACUCAGUCUCAUACUCAGUGUGUAACUAUGUUGGAUACUUGGUAGAUAAAGAGAAUAGACUAAUGGCUCAUUUUCUUGAAUCUUCUAGAAUUUCAUAAGGACCAGGUACCCAUAGUGUUAGAAAUGUACUAAGCAGGGAACAAAUUGGAAAGAAUCAUCUCCUUCAUCUUAAUCUCCCUGCAGUGGCUAUGAUCAAACUACAGUAUCUAGUUAAGAGUUUAUUGACUAUGUCUAACACAACUCUAUACCAUUAUAGGCAUGCACAUAUGGAAAGAUGAGAGGAAUUAAGAGGUGGAGAUUAUUUAAGGCAUCUCAAAUUAUGCACAUAAAAGUUUAGAAUAGGGACCAGGUUUCCCUUCACAGGUUACUAUCACUAACUGCAAUCAUAAAAGCUUCGAACUGUCAUGAAAUUCCAUAUAGAUUUAGUUUUUCUGUUUGACUCUUAUGUAAUAUUGUCAUGUCAUUUGAAACUCUAUUGCCAUAUCCUUUUCUUGACAUGACAAGUUGAUUAUUCUCCUUUUAAGGCAUAAUUCAAACUAUUCAUUCAUUUUACCACACCUUCAAAAUGACAACUGAAAAUUCCUUGAAACCCUUGGUCUAAUAGUUCCUUUUGAACUCUUUAUUUGAAUGCCACUUUUCUCACUAAACUACUUUCUAAGAUCUUUGGACCCUCCUUAGACUUAUCCAUUAUUUUUUCUCAAGUAAAGGUUCUAAUGAAAGGAUCAGGUAACCCAACAAAAUUCAAUAGAGGUUAGUAAGAAUGUAUAGAAAAGUGAGGAAGUAAAUAUCACGUAGAAAAUUACACACAGUCAUAGACCUAGUCCCUAUACUGUGUCCAAACAAAAAGAAGGAAAGGGGUUAAAAUCUGAUAUUAAUGUUCAGAGCCCUGAGUAAUAGUUAUUUGAGGAAAGUUUUCCCAAAAAUAUUGCUUUGUGAUAGAGUGUUUGAUCCUAGGAUGGAUGAAUUGGAUGCAAGUUUUUCUGAGUUCCAUAAGGGGACUAGGGGCCUUGAUGGAUCCUCAUCAAGAAUUAGCUUAUCAAAAGGUGAAGUAUCUCAGUUGUGAAUCAAAGUUGGAGACCUGGUCUUGAAAAUCAACUCUUAUCCUAUUUUCUAUCCCAAUGUUUAUUCGUUUCAUCCAUCUUUUCUUUUGCCUAAGCUUUAUUUCUGACCCUAUAUGGUAAAAUGAAAGCUCUCUUUUAUGUAUGCUUUUAAUGGUAUUAACAAAACAUUUUUCAUAUCUUGUUGUUGGUUCUAUCUCUAGUUCUUCUCUAUUAUUUUUGCUUAUGUUAGUGUUGCCCCAGUGGCCAUGUGUUAACAUAUGUUGAUUCUUACUUUUAAUUGGUUUACUGUUUGCUUUAUUUAGUGAUGCCAAAAUGAGGAAGAUCUUGUAGAAAGGAUAAACAAUGGCGAUGGACAAAAUUGAUGAAGGGACCUGAUUCCUAAGAGAACUGAGUGCUUGUGUCAGGACCUAGUACCUAAGAGAUGAGUGUUGGUGUCAUAGGGAACAGAGACCUGAUACCUAAGAGAAAUAAGUUCUGGUGUUAGAAGGAAUAGGGACCUGGUACAAUGAGUGUUGUGUUAGAGGGAACAUAGACCUGGUACCUAAGAGAAAUGAGUAUUGGUGUUAGGGGGAACAAGGACUUGGUACUUAAAAGAAAUGAGUAUCGGUGUCAGGUUGAACAUAAAUGAGUAUUGAUGUUAGGGUAAACAUAUCCACUGCUGGCUUAAUUUUGUCAUCAUAAAAAAGUGGGAAGUACUAUAUUUGUGGUUUUGAUGAUUGGCAAACUUAUUACUAAUUCUGAUGACUAGCAAGCUCAUAAAGGGACUAGAAAAAAAUUAAAAUGUUGUUAUUUGGAGAUAAUAGUGAUAAGGGAAACUAAUAAGAGAGAUGUUGGUGAUAGGGGGAACUGAUAAGAGACUUAAUACUCCUAGAAGGAAAGAGAAACUAAAAAAGAGAUAAAUGAUGUUAAAAAACUCUCUGAACUACUGCUAUAUUGGUUAUAGGGUUGUUAUCAUCAAAAAGGGGGAAACUGACAAUCAUGUGGUUUGAUGGUUGACAAAACUCGUGCGAGAACCUGGUCCUCAGAGGGAUCCUAUUUUGUAGGGAACAUGUUCAUAUUAUAGAUGUACUCAUAACCUUGUUAAGUAGUAACUUCUUAAGGGGAUGUUUCCUAGUUCCAAUAUAUGUAGUGAUACAUGACAUGGAAACACUAAAUGACGCAUGAGACAUUUGUUCUUAUUAAUUGACAAACCUGCCCAGGGACCAGAUUAGGGACAAGGUUCUCUAAUUGUCAAACUUUUACAGUCAACAUAAUAGUUGAUAGUUGUACCUUUUUAAAGAAAAGUUGGUGGUACAGCAGAAGAGGGGCAACAUCUUUAAUCUCGACCACUGAGAAAUAUUCUUGGUUUUUCCUUCCAUUUGCUUCAUAUAUAUAUAUAUAUAUAUAUUUGCACAAUCAAACUUUCUCAUUUUCUUGCAAAGCCAUCACAAAGUUCCAUGAAGAAAAAGUUCUAACAACCAAAGGACCAAUUUGCUACAAUGGAAUAUGUAUUUAGGUCUAGGUUGUUGAGUCUUUUUAUUUUUCUCUAACAUUGUAAACCUACUUCUCUUUUGAGAAGCUUGUGUAGGUAUUUUAUUUUCUCUCUUCUCCUGAAGAUUUGAGUUGUGGGCUCAAGUUAGCCAUUGUAUUGUUACAGGCUAGAUUUAAUCGUGGUUGUAAAAUUGUGGUCUAAAUUUAGCCUUGGUUGUCUUUACAAUAGAGUUAUUGUAGAGAGUAAUUACAAUAGAGUUCUUGUAAAGGUGAAGGAUUAAGAGUUUAAUUCCGAGGUUGCAAGAGGUUGUAAUCUAAAAGUUGCUAUUGUUUUAGUGAAGUGGUUGAGAAAUCCUAUUGGGGUAGGUUGUGUUUUUACUCUUUUAAGCAAGAAGGUUUCCACGUAAAAAAUCUUCUUUUCUUUGCUUUUGUUCUUGAUCGUUGAACCUGGCGAGGGACCAGGUUCGCGUUAGUGUGGUGAACUCAUAUAGAACCUUUUAUAUUAUUACCUGAAGAAACUGAUAAUAGAACUGAUCUCUCGUAACGUGGUAGACACACGCAAGUCAUCAAAUCUUUCCUAAUAUUGUUGUUAAGACAUAUAGGUAGAAAAUUACAUUUCCAAUUCCACCCCACUCAAAUAAUUAUGAUGCAGCAAAUAACAAAGCAAAUGCAAAUACUAUUUCACAUUCUUGGAAAUGCGGAGAACUAUUGGUGUCUUUCAUUUUGUGUCCUGCUUUCAUCACCUUUAAGGUUGUCUAAUGGGAGAAAAAUCUACAACUAAAAUAAGACUUCCAACAUUAAGGAAUUUAACUAGUAUCAUCAAUUUCAAGAACUACCUAAAACUGGAGUAAAAAACUGUAACCUAACAACAUACGCAUGUCAAUGACAACAUAUACUAUAGUUUGUCCAUCAAUUACCAUUACAGUGUAAAUUAAAAUAAUGAGAAGGCACAGGCAAAAAAUGGAGCUGUGAAACUAGCCUGAGAACUAAAAAGAUCUCAGAAGGACCAAAGGAAAAAUGGAAAGCCUAUUUUGUUGUAACCAAAAAAUUCUUCAGGCUAGCCAGGGUGCACUAUUCUGAACUCGGUGAAUACACCUUAUACCCAAAUUAGGUCUCAGAGUGCGGGAAAAUUCGAAUAUGUAAUUGGCGCUUCUCUUUGCGUUAGACUAUUAUUAUUUUAUGUAUGUGGGACAAUUAAUGCAAAGCCUAUAAGUAAUUAUAAUAUGCAUUUAAUGAAAAAUAAAUUUUGUCCAUUCGACCAUUUUGUUGAUGGGCGUGUUAGAUUUAGUCACAACCUCCACAUUUUCUUGACACAUCUCAUUGACAGCUGCAGUAACGUGCAGUUAUGGCAAGGAAACAUAAACCAAUUUUUGACUAACAUUUUUGCUUUUUGAUAAUAUCUUCCACAUCAUGUAUGCUUUCUAUUAUUAUUUUUAUAAUUUUGUUGUGUUGAAGAUCCUGAAAUGCGUUAAGUUCACAUGUGAUAUCUGAAUGUUAUAGAUUAAUCUUUCCAUAAGAAAAACUAUUUUGUGUUGAAUAUUAUAUAUUCAUCACACUGAUGGUGUUACUGUAUUGUUUUCAAAAUUGCUCUUAUAAUGAUGUAAACUGCAUAUAAUUUUUUUUAUCAGUAAACUUCAAAAAGGUGAGGAUGUACUAAUUUCUUUUGUUUCCUAAGUAAUAUAACUGCAUAAGUUCAAUCUUGAAUAUUUGUAUGAUCAUCUAGCAACUAGCUGUGCAAACAUACAUAGGAGUGAUGUGUUCACCUAUUUUAGUGCCUUCACUUCUUUUGCAUAUCUCAGAUGAUGAUGCUUCUCCCUGCUAACUUUCAUUUUGAGAGUUCUAUGUUGAUUAUCUUAAUUUGACGCAGUCCCCAUUAGCACACUUUUUUAUUUCUCAAGGUUUUUCCUCUCCAUCUUUAAAUUUGGCUUCUUGCUAAGAAAUUUCUGCCUCACAAUAAGAGAUCUCAGCUAUCCAAGCUACUUAACGCUCAAAAACCUCACUUCAACUCCUCAAUAUAACUCCACAUCUCACUCUCUUUCAUUAUCCUAUCUUUUAUAUCAGCAUCUAAUGCUUCUUUCAAUUCUUGUAUGAAUUUAUCAACAACUGCUUCAAUUCUCUGUGAAAUCAAACAAACACACUUAUUGACUCUCAGUCAAAAAAUAAAAUAAUUUUGAUUGUUCCUUAUUUCUAUUGCCGAGAGAUCCUUUUUAGACAAUACUACUAAUCAUCGGUUACUAUUGCCAGGAAAGGAGAUUCAAAGAAGGAAGAGAACUUUGAUUUGACUUAUUUGUGUUCAGUUGGACCAAUUAAUGAAGGAAAGCAUAUGUGAGAAUUGAAGAGAUCAAGUUUAUGCCUUUAGUUUCCUUUUCUUUUUGUUACUUCCUUCCAAGUACUACAUAUAAUAUAAUUUAAUUAAUAGCUAAUGAUCCACAAUGCAGUAUAUUAUUUUUAUCUUUCCAUCAAUUUCCAAUCAUUAAAGUUGUUGUCGGUUUUAAUAUUAUCAAGGAAAAUAAUGUAGCAAGUAGAGCCAAGAACUUAGCGGCUGAAAAUAGAGAUUGAGUUAGAGAAGAAGAGACGCAUUGAAUUUUUUUAGAGAAGAAGAGACACAUUGAAUUUUUUUUUGCUAAAGCAAUGUAUUUUAUUGAUUAUCAACUCCUAACUUAAAUUGCCUCUAAUACAGCUAAAAAUAGGUUAAACUUAUCACAAAAAUAACCAAUUUGCUAUCAAAAAUAAUAAAAAUUAGUUUCCUACCAAAAAUAGCAAUCUCAAUUUGACUAGAAGUUGUAUGUAUAAAAAAUAGUGGAGAAAAAAGAAAAAACAGUCUGCAUUCUUAAAGCAACUUUCAACACUACUCCUUGCUUUAUAAAAUGCAAACACCAAUUCUUUGCCUUAGAAGCUUGAACUUGCUGACUGGAAGUGGCUUAGUAAAUAGGUCUGCUAGCUGGUUUUCAGACUUGCAGUAGAUUGGAGUUACUUCUCCCUAUUGCUGCACUUCUCUCAAGAAAUAACACUUGAUGUUGAAAUGUUUGGUCCUUUUAUGAAACAUCAGAUUGUUUAAGACUGCAAUAACUGCCUGGUUGUUGGCUAGAAUCUCAGUGUUGUCUUUCUAUUCCAUAUGUAAAUCACACAUGAUCUUUCUAAGCCAUAAGGCUUGGUUUACAACUAUAAUACCCUGUGUUUUGAAGUCACUAUACAAUAUAUGACUUAUGCCUUUGAGUCGUAUGGACCUCGUAUGAGUCGUAUGUUCAACUCGUACCCAUGACAGUGUGUGAUGGGUGAUAUUAUAUUUAGGGUAAGAAUUAAACCUUGGAAGUCGUAAGGUGAUCAUACAAGUUGUACAUGGUAAGUCAUAACCAAGUCAGUGUGAGGUUAGAUGAGUUCUGUCUAGCUUACGAGAGAAUGAGUGCUAGUCGUAUGACUUGUUACGAAUCGUAAAUUAUGACUCAUAUCUUAAUAAGUGAAGUAUCCAAGAAUCAAGGCUCAUGUUUUGAAAUCUUUAUAAGUUAAUUAGACAUAUAUUAAGUCCUCAAAUAGCUCCUAACUCAUGAACAAGACGAAACAUCCCUUAGCGAUUAAGUUCUUAUGAAGAAUAUAACUAUAGUCAUAUUUAAAUGUUCAUAACUUAUAUUAUACUAAGAAUUUCUGAUCUCAAGCCCCCCAGUAGAUAGAUAAUUGAACUAUAUUUCUAACAUUACUAAUUUUUAUUUAAUCUAAUAUUGGGGUGAAAAGUUAUGACCAAAUUACUGAAGCACUAUUAAAGUUGCCAGUAGGGUACGACUCCGGAUAACGACCCGUACCCUUAACGUACGAGUCGUCAGGAGGAGUCGUACCCACAAUAGUAGGAGUCAAAUUUUGGGUUCCUAGUGAUGACUCAAGGUAUGACCCGUACCUAGAAUAUAUAAUUCAUACCCAAACACAUCGAGAUGCCUUCCAAAUGAUUUCCAGAAGGUUUCUAAGUUUUUUUUGGUCUUUUCUCCCUUUAUAACUCCCAAACCCAUGACAUUUAACUCUAAGGGGCGUUAUAUUUCCUCUCUUUUUUAUCAAUUAAAUAACAUAAAAUCCCUAUUUCCAUUCUCAAUAACAAGAUUAGGGUUUCUUCUCAAGAUCAUCUCCCAAGUCUCAAAGGUCAAGUUUACUUCACAAAGCCAAGAACUUUAAGGUAUGUGGAGUAUUUAUCAAUAGGUUCCUUCCACCAAUUGAGCCUAAAAACCCUCUUGUAGUUUUAAAAUUAGAAUUUUAUUCUAUUUUGUGGAGUUAGCCUUACAAUUUAUGAAUUAAAUCCUUGAAAUUCUUAAUAAAUCAAAUUCAAGUCAUGUCAAUAUGUGUUCCCAUGUUAUUCAAGUCACUUCAUAUUUGAAUUUCAGUUUUCAUUGUUUUAAUCCCUUAAUUUCGUGAUAAAUCCUCAAGUUAUGAAUUAAACCAUGUAAAUAUGUUGUUUUUCCCAUGUUUAACAUAACCUCAUCUUCAAAUUCAUGUAUUCUAACAGUUAUUGAAAUUUACUAUAUUUUGGGUCUCUGAAUUAUGACUUCCUCCUAUUGUUUAAAUGUUUUUAUUAUAUUUUUGUAAUCAUUUAGUGCUGGAGGGUUUUGAACACCCGAUACCUACUGUUUUACAUAAUUUUCGUUUCAAAGAAAUAAGUCAGACCAUCAUUUUUAUUAAAACAUUCAGAAUAUCAUAUUCAUGCUGAGCAUUUACAAGCACCAUAUACAGUUAUGUUAAACAACUAAUAAUACCAAAGUUUUUUAGUUGGGAGUAACACUUAGCACCGAGUGAAUACAGGAAUGACGGGUCCCCCAUCAGUAGAGGCAUAAGUCAUUAGUGGCAGUCCCUAAGUUCCAGACCUACGACGCUACUAUAUAUUAUGAAGGGUCCCCAAUCAGUAGAGGCAUGAAACCCUCGUUCUUUGGGACAUCAAGCUUGAGGAUCCACAUCAUUAUUUAUGUGUUAGUACCCCUUGUAAAGUACCAUCACCCUUCCAACUGGAUUUACAGGUUGGACCUCAAUAGCUUAAAUUGAGGCAUGUUGGUUGUAGUUAUCUGCCAUAGUCUUAGUGUAGUAUUUAGAAUAGAUCAUCUCAGGCUUGGAUGACCAAGUAUACAAACUUAGGUUAUUCAGUUAUGUCAUAAUAGUGAUUCAGUCACUCAAAUUUACAGUUUAUUUCAGUACAUAUUUAUGCUUGGUCUUGUAUUCUCAGUGUUAUAUGGUCAUGCAUUCAAUUUCAGUUGCCAUAUGUUUUUCAAUUAGUCCUUACCUUAUGUACUAGUACAUUAAAAGUAGUGACUGUAUACUCUUCUCUUGCACUAUGUUGUCUUAUAACAUAGGUUCAGACGCAUAGUUUCUCGACCGUUCUUAGAUAGUCUAGCAUCACCCGACAGUAGUAGUGGUGAGUCCUCUUCCAUCGAGGACAUGAUAUGUUUUAUCCUUAUUUCAGCAUCUAUUUAUAUUUCAUCAGUCGGAGUUAGUUGGGGGUCCAUCCCAUCAACUCCUUAUGAUUCUUAGAGGCUUUCAAAUGGUUAGACGGUCUUUUAGUUUUUAGUUAUUAUCAAUUGUUUCAGACAGAAAAUCUAGUUUUUAGUGUUUAUCAGAUAUUCCAGAUUUGUUGUUUUAUGUAUUUUAGUAUUUCAAAUUGACAGUUGCUUAUUAUUUUAUCUUCUGCACAUAUUAUAUUACUAUCAUAUUAUUCAAUUCUCACAGCAGGUACUAGAUUAUGAGUUAUCUUGGGGUUGCAUGCGACCUUAAGCACCGUGUUACAACUAGGGGGUAGCUUCGGGUUGUGUCAAAACUUAGUAUCAAAGCCAGGUUUUAAAGUGUCCUAGGGUUUCUGAAAUAUAUAUUGAGUAGAUUCUUAUGCAUGGGUGUGAAGCGCACCAUCUUAUGCAUGGGUGUGAAGUGCACCAUACUUAUCGAUAAGAGGCUAUGAGAUAUUUUUAGAAAAGUUUCCCUUCUUUCAGCAUUUAUGUCAAGCGAAAAAGCAUAAGCUCUAUUGAAUUUCUCUUUCUAACUCAUCCUUUAUUUUGUUUAUAGAUAAUUCCUCCCAGAAGAAAUAAUGGAAAAAGGAAUGGGCGUCAGCCCGCACCACCACCUGUUCAGAAAGAUCCCCUGAACGAUCAUGUUUCACAUAUUGAGUUUGGGGCUACUUUUACAGUUUUAGCCCAUUUGGUAGCUGCUCAAAACAACCAGUAGGCUGUUGUUCCAGCGAAUCUAGUGUUAAAUACAGCUGCAGCUAGGAUUUGAAACUUCACUCGAAUGAAUCCCCUUAUAUUUUUUGGAUCUAAGUUUGAGGAGGAUCUACAGGAAUUUUUGGAUAAAGUGCAAAAGGUAAUGGACAUCAUGGGUGUCACUUUGAAUAAGAUUGUAGAGUUGGUUGUAUAUCAGUUACAAGGAGUAGAUCACACCUGGUUUAAGUAGUGGAAGGAAGAUAGGGGUAUGGAAGUAGAGCCUAUAAAGUGGGAGGAGUUUUCCAUGGUUUUCCUAGAUAGUUCUUCCCACUAGAGUUGAGGGAAACUAAAGUUCAGGAGUUCAUAAAAUUAAAGCAGGGUAGUAUGAGCGUGAAGGAGUAUUCUCUUAAGUAUACUCAGUUGGUGAGGUAUGCUUCUACUAUGGUGGCCGACAAUAGGUCCAAAAUGAGUAAGUUCAUAUCUGGUAUCUAAUAGUGUGGUUAAAGAGUGUAGGAAUGCCAUAUUGAUUAAGUAGAUAGACCUAUCUAGAUUGAUGGUUCAUGCUCAGCAGAUUGAGAAAUAGAAGAUCAAAGAUAAGGAAAUAGAGAAUAAGAGGGCCAGAACAGGUAGUUUUAAAUUUUUUCAGCCAAGAUCGAAAGGCGAUAAAUGUUCUCAAUUCUGCCAAAAUUUUUUAACCCCAUCUCUAUCUUCAGCAAGUAUGCCAGUGUUUAAGUUCAGACAUGAUAGUUGGGAUAGAGUGCCAGGCUCUAAGUCCCAGGGUAGUGUAGGCAGUGGUCAUACCAAUCCGCUAUGCAGAAAGUAUGGUAAGAAUCAUUAGGGUGAGUGUAAAGUUGGUAGUGAUAGGUUUUUUGAGUGUGGAAAGUCAGGCCACAAUGUAAGGGACUACCCAGUGAGCCUGUGGAGGGGUAUAAAUGAAUGCCAGCAAGGCCUGACUAAUUCUUCAGCAGCACCAGCAGGUUACCCGACUCAAUAGGUUGCCAUAUCUAGUUCCACUAGUGGGGAACACCAGAAUAGGUUGUACACUCUCUAAACUCGACAUGCUUAAGAAAGUUCUUUGGAUGUGGUUACGGGUAUGUUACAAGUCUUCCAUCUUUAUGUUUAUGCACUGCUAGACCCCCAGAGCUUCAUUUUCCUUUAUAACUCCUUAUAUAGCUGCAGACUUCGGUAUCAGUCCUAAAAUAUUGGUAGAGCCUUUCUCAGUGUCUACCUUAAUAGGUAAGUCAAUUGUAGCCAGAUGUCACAGUGUCUCAUAAAGUUACUUCAGUUGAUCUUGUGGAGUUAGAGAUGACUGAUUUUGACAUCAUUCUUGGCAUGGAUUAGCUCGACUCAUGUUAUGCCUCAGUUGACUAUAGAAAUAAAAUUGUUCAAUUUUAGUUUCCUAAUAAACCAAUUAUGAAUGGAGGGGUAGAAAUAAAAUUGUUUUCAUAUCUUAAGGCAAGAAAGAUGAUAUCGAAAAUGUGUAUUUACCAUCUCGUCUAAGUCAAGGACUUAAAUUUUGAAAUUCUGAAUCCUGAGUCAGUUUUGAUAGUAAAUAAAUUUUCAGAUAUGUUUCCUAAAGAUCUUCCUGGAGUUUCUCCCGAAAGGGAAAUCGAUUUCAAAAUAUAUCUCCUUCUAGAUACCUAGCCUAUCUCUAUUCCACCUUAUAGAAUGGCUCCAGCUGAGCUUAAGGAAUUGAAGGAACAAUUAGAGGAUCUCUUAGAUAAGGGUUUUAUUAGCUCUAAUAUUUCUUUAUUGGGUGCUCCAUUUCUAUUCGUGCAUAAGAAAGGCGAUUCUCUCAGAAUGUACAUUGACUACCAUCAGUUGAACAAAGUCACCAUAAAGAAUAAGUAUCCACUACCCAAAAUUGAUGACUUGUUCGACCAACUUCAAGGUGCAAGUUAUUUCUCUAAGAUAGACCUUAGAUCUGAUUAUCAUCUACUUAGAGUCAGAGAAUGUGACAUUUCAAAGAUAGCAUUCAAAACUUGGUAUGGUCACUUUGAAUUCCUAGUUAUGUAUUUUGGACUAACAAAUGCCCCUACAACUUUCAUGGAAUUGAUGAAUAGGGUGUUCAAGUAGUACUUGGACAUAUUUGUCAUAGUAUUUAUUGAUAACAUCCUUAUCUAUUCCCGUAGUAAGAAUGAUCAUGAAAACCAUCUGAGAGUUGUGUUACAAACCCUUAGAGAUCAUCAGUUAUUUGCUAAGUUUAUUAAGUGCAAAUUUUUAUUGAAAUCAGUAGCCUUCCUUAGUCACACUAUUUUUGGUGAUGACAUUCGAGUUGAUCCUCAAAAAACUAAAGCAGUGAGAAACUAUCCUAGACCCAUCUCUCCGUCAGAUAUCAAGAAUUUCUUAGGUUUAGAUGGCUAUUAUAGAUGGUUUAUUGAAGGGAUUCCUUUUAUUUCUUUCUCCAUGUAAAUACUAACUCAAAAGAAAGUAAAAUUUUAGUGGUCUAAUUCCUGCAAAAAGAGUUUUCAUGAGUUAAACACUCAACUCACUUCUGCUUCAGUCUUAACUUUCCCAAAUGACACAGUUAGGUUCAUUGUGUAUUGUGAUGCUUCUAGAGUUGGCUUUGGUUGUUUAUUAAUGAAGAGAGGUAAGGUCAUAGAUGCCUCUAGACAGCUUAAACCCCAUGAAAAGAAAUAUCCAACCCAUGAUCUUGAGUUGGCAGCUGUUGUCUUUACCUUAAAGAUUUGGAGGCAUUACUUUUAUGGGGUUCAUGUCGAUAUGUUCAUAGAUCACAAGAGUUUACAGUAUGUAUUCACAUAGAAAGACUUGAAUCUUCAUCAAAUGAAGUGGCUUGAAUUAUUGAAAUACAAUGAUAUGAGUGUGUUAUAUCAUCAAGGAAAAGCCAAUGUAAUAGUAGAUGCCCCUAGUAGAUUGUUUAUGGGUAGUGUUGCCCAUGUUGAGGAUGAUAAAAAGGAGUUAGUCCGUGAGGUUUAUCAACUUACCAUGUUAGAAGUUCGAUUAGUAGAUUUGGCAGAAGGUAGUAUAUGGGUUCAAAAUGGUUCAAAAUCUUUAUUGGUUACUGAAGUGAAAGAAAAGCAAGAUAGGGAACCUAGUUUGGUCAAGUUGAAGGAGACGGUUAGAGAUCAAAAGGUAUAGGUUUUCUCCCAAGGGGGAGAUGGCGUGCUUCAUUGUCAGAGCAGACUAUAUGUUCUAUAUGUUGAUAGUCUAAGACAGUGAAUAUUAGGUAAGUUGGACGGUGCGCAAUAAUCUAUUCGCCUAGGAGCUACUAAAAUGUACUGUGAUUUUUGGAAAAUCUAUUGGUGGAGUGGUAUGAAUAAGAUAUUAUAGAGUUUGUCACUAAAUGUUCAAAUUUUCAACAAGUUAAUGUUGAGAACCAAAGGCCUAGUGGUACACUUCAGGAGUUUAGCAUCCCCUCUUGGAAGUGGGAGGUGGUGAACAUGGAUUUUGUGAUAGGGUUACCUCGUACGCAUCGUCAGCAUGAUUCAAUAUGGGUUGUUAUGGAUAGAAUGACCAAGUCAGCUCAUUUCUUGCUAGUUCAUACUUUGUUUUCAGCUAAGUAUUAUGCUUGACUCGAUCUUAGAAAGUUGGUGAAGUUGCAUGGGGUUUCGUUGUCUAGAAUUUUAGAGAGAGGUACUCAGUUUAUAUAAUACCCUGCAUGUUUCUAAGCAAGGAAGUAAAUAAGUAUUCCUACGCAUGAAAUCUUCUAUCCUAUGAUUCAUACUUGAGUACAUGACUUACAAUGAAUAUCCUAGUGAUAGGAUAGCUUAUGAUGCAUUAAGCAUGUUCAUAUGAGUCACUUAAGGUAAUACAAGCUAAGAGUUUUUGAAUCCAUCAAGUUUUAGUGUUCGAUUUUUCAAGGGUCAUCUUUGAAUGAGUAUAACUCGAUGUUAAUGUGUUAUUUUGGCUGAUUUAGACCCACCAAAUUGUAGAGAAUUAAAUUAGCUUUCCAACAAUACCAAUUUUGCCUUAAUCUAAUACCCGAGCGAAAAGUUAUGCCCAUUUUCGUGAGAGACAGUAAGGAUAGGCGAUUGGUUAGGCGCCUCCCAACCCAAACAUAGGCGAUUGGUUAGGCGCCGCCCAACCUAGCUUAGGCAAUCACUUGGUCACCGCCUAACUCAGUUCCAGGUGCCAAAAACACUCCAUUUUGAGUUAUUUUAAGGGUAAUUAAGUCUUUUAACACUCCUUAUACGUCCCUAAACUUAACCCUACGAAAUAUAUAGCUUCUAAACAUAUUAGAACCCUAUUAUCAUCUCAAAGCUCAUCAUCCAAGAGCACUAAAAGAGAAAAACAACUAGGGUUGCGUAACUAAGCUUGAAGAUCCGAUUUCAAGGAAAUUCCUCCNNNNNNNNNNNNNNNNNNNNNNNNNNNNNNNNNNNNNNNNNNNNNNNNNNNNNNNNNNNNNNNNNNNNNNNNNNNNNNNNNNNNNNNNNNNNNNNNNNNNNNNNNNNNNNNNNNNNNNNNNNNNNNNNNNNNNNNNNNNNNNNNNNNNNNNNNNNNNNNNNNNNNNNNNNNNNNNNNNNNNNNNNNNNNNNNNNNNNNNNNNNNNNNNNNNNNNNNNNNNNNNNNNNNNNNNNNNNNNNNNNNNNNNNNNNNNNNNNNNNNNNNNNNNNNNNNNNNNNNNNNNNNNNNNNNNNNNNNNNNNNNNNNNNNNNNNNNNNNNNNNNNNNNNNNNNNNNNNNNNNNNNNNNNNNNNNNNNNNNNNNNNNNNNNNNNNNNNNNNNNNNNNNNNNNNNNNNNNNNNNNNNNNNNNNNNNNNNNNNNNNNNNNNNNNNNNNNNNNNNNNNNNNNNNNNNNNNNNNNNNNNNNNNNNNNNNNNNNNNNNNNNNNNNNNNNNNNNNNNNNNNNNNNNNNNNNNNNNNNNNNNNNNNNNNNNNNNNNNNNNNNNCAGUUUCCUUCUAUUGAGUCCUGGGGGUACUUGUACCCAAAAACUAUAGCUAUGUGCCUAGAUCCAUGUCAUGUUUUACGAUAUCCGAACUCAAGCUAUGAUUACAUAGACUUCAGUCAGUCAUGUGACUCAGGAAAACCUCAUGAUCUUAGUCAGUUGUCAGAUAUCAGUAACAUUCCACCAGUCAAUGGAAUUCAGUAAGAUUAAGUCAUGCACAGUCAAUUAUUCAUGUCCAGUACCUCUAGAUGGGAGUAGAGGUUAGCGCUAGGUGAACCUAAGGAUGGGAACUCACCCGCCAGUUCAGGGGUGAUUCUUAGUAGUCAUCUUUGUGUUCCAGAACUACGUAGCCAGUAUAGGUUGAGACAUCUCAACCCGUCAGAUUAGGGUUGAUGAGGUGACUUAACCCGUUUGCUUAGGGUUCCCACCAUUCUCAUUGAGUACCCGCCUAAUAAGGGUCACUCACAGGCUGUCCUUACCCAUGGCACAGUAUUGACACCCAUCCAGUCGGGGCAGAGAUUGGACCCCAGAUUAGCCAUAAUGACAUACAUGGGGUAUGUCGGUUAAACACUACUUCCCUCAGUUUCAGUAUCAGUCUCAGUAAAAGAACUCAGGGCGUUCUUCAGAUUUUAGUAUAUACAGGAUUGUCAGAUACAGUCGUCCAUGUUAUCAGUUUCUAUAUCAGUCAUGACAGUUAUCAGUAAACCAUGUAUAGCUAACAGGUCAUGCUAUCACGUAUUCAUGGUCCAGUUUCUAUAUAUGUGUGUUUGCACUCCCAUGUUCAUAUUAGUCAGUCAGUGUUGUUCAUGCAUGAAACCCUGUAUGUUCAGCCUACCUUCCUCGUAUACUCAGUACUCUAGUUGUACUGACGCAUUUACGCUAUGGUGCUUUCUUUUCAUGUUACACCAUAGGUUCCGAGACCUGAGCUCUAGCCCAGCAGUAGCGGUAGCAUUCAAGUCACAGAGACACAAUGACAAUAUGAUUUGAUUCAUUUAUUUAUUUCUUCAGUUCAGUUUUACGGAGUUAGUUGGAGACAUGUUCCUUCAACUCCUUAUUCAGAUAGUUUAGAGGCUUUCAGAUUUAUGUUCAGAUUGAGUUGUUUUGGGUAUUUUCACCCACAUGAUUGUAUUCAGUUGAACCUUAUGGCCUUACAGUUCUAUGUAUUCCGCAUUAUUAUAUCAUGAUUUGUAGUAUAUAGGUACAGAUAUCAGUCAUGCGUUAGCUUGUGGUCCUCAGGGUCAUAAGCACCGUGUAGCAUUUCGGUUCAGCGAAUCGGGGUGUUAUAAACUUGGUAUCAGAGCCUAAGGUUCAAUAGAGUCCUAGGAAGUCUGAAAGCCACAUCUAGUAGAGUCUUGUACAUGGGUGUGGUGCGUGCCACAUUUAUGUGCAGGAGGCUAUAAGAUGUUUUAAGAACAGUCCCCUUUCUUCAUUAUUCAUGUCAUGCUAGUGAGCAUAAUCACAAGUUAAACUCUUAGUCUAAUCCAUUCUUCUCUUAUUCCAGACUAUGGCCCCAAAGAGAAGAAAUCAGCCAGCUCCUCAGCCCGAAGAUCCUUUGGGCAAACAUGUUUCCCAUACGGAGUUUAGAGCCGCAUUUACCAUACUUACUCAAUCCAUGGCUGCACAGACUAAACGGCCACCUGUCAUUCCAGCCAAUCCAUUGGCCAAUCCCAAAGCAGCUAGGGUUUGGGACUUCACCUGAAUGAACCCUCUAUCUUUCCAUGGGUCUAAGUCUGAUGAGGACCCUCAGGAGUUCAUUGACCAAGUCGAAAAGGUCAAUGACAUCAUAGGUGUUACUUCUAUUGAAAGUGCUGAGUUAGCCGCCUACCAGUUACAGGAUAUUGCUCAUGAUUGGUACAAAUAGUGGAAGUCUAUGAGGUUAGAUGAUACAGGCCCUAUCGAGUGGAAGGAAUUUAUCACAGCCUUCUUAGAUAGAUUCUUUCCCCAAGAGCUAAGGGAAGCCAAAGUUCUUGAGUUCAUCAACCUCAGGCAAGGGAAUAUGACGGUUAGGGAGUAUUCUCUCAAAUUUACUCAGCUAUCCAGGUAUGCUCCUCAUGUGUUUGUAGACAAUAGAGCUAAGAUGAGCAAGUUCGUGUUAGGGGUCAAGGAUAGCAUGGUAAACGAGUGUAGGUCUGCGAUGCUGCUCGAUGAUAUGACCUUAGCUAGACUCAUGACCCAUGCCCAGAAAGUAGAAUAAUAGAAGUUUAAGACUAGGGAGAGGCAGAAUAAGAGAGCAAGGUCAGGUAAUUUCAACUUUGCUCACCCCAAGUCAGAUAGAGGAAACCGUUCACAGUUUUGCACCAAGUCAGCCGUUGCAGCUUCUUCCUCUGCCAGCGCUCCAGUGCUGAAGUUUAGAGACGACACUAGAGACAAAGUCCCAGGCUCUAAAUCUCAGGGCAGUGUUAGCAGUGCCCGAAUAAAUCCCCUUUGUCAGACUUGUGGUACGAACCACAAGGGCAUUUGCAAAGCCGGUAGUGAUGUCUAUUUUGGUUGUAGUAAGCCAGGCCACAGGAUUAGGGAGUGUCUACAGUCAAGCUUUCAGGGUUAGAAAAAUCAUUCUAUAGCUCAGUCCAGUCGCCCGAACCAGCAGGGUGCCAUUUCCUGCGCUACCAGUGGGCAACGCCCAAAUAGACUCUAUGCUGUUCAGUCCAGGCAGGAUUAGAAAAAUUCUCCUGAUGUCGUUACUGGUACGUUACAGAUUUUCCAUGUUCAUGUUUAUGCUUUACUAGACCUAGGUGCAUCUUUAUCUUUUGUUACUCUAUACAUAGCAGGCAAUUUCAGAAUGAGUCCUAAAGUCCUAGCAGAGCCCUUCUCAGUCUCUACCCCAGUGGGUAAAACUAUCAUAGCCCAGUGGGUAUACAGGAACUACCCGGUUAUGAUAUCUCAAAAAUCCACAUCAGCAGAUUUAGUGGAGUUAGAGAUGACUGAUUUUGAUAUCAUUCUCAUCAUGGAUUGGCUUCAUUCCUGUUAUGCCACAAUCGAAUGCAAAAAUAGGAUAGUUCAGUUUCAGUUCUCGGAUGAGCCCUUCCUAGAGUGGAAAGGUAGCAUUUCAGCAUUCAGGGGUCAAUUUGUUUCCUACCUUAGGGAAAGGAAAAUGAUUUCUAAGGGGUGUGUGUAUCAUCUCAUGCAUGUUAAAGAUUCUAGUUCUGAAUAUCCCAUUCUCGAAACAGUCCCUGUUGUUAAUGAAUACUCAGAUGUUUUUCCCGAAGAUCUUCUAGGCAUUUCUCCUGAAAGGGAAAUAGACUUCGGCAUAGACCUUCUUCUGGAUACUUAACCUAUUUCUAUUCUUCCAUACAGAAUGGCACCAGCAGAACUCAAGGAACUGAAAGAUUAGUUGAAGGAUCUCUUAGAAGGGAUUCAUCAGACCUAGCAUUUCCCUAUGGGGUAUGCCAGUAUUAUUUGUGUGCAAGAAAGAUGGUUCUCUCAGGAUGUGUAUUGAUUACCGUCAACUCAAUAAGGUCACAGUCAAGAAUAGAUAUCCUCUUCCCAGGAUUGAUGAUCUAUUUGACCAACUUCAGGGUGCCAGUUACUUCUUCAGAUAGACCUUAGAUCAGGCUAUCAUCAGCUCAGAGUUAGAGAAUGUGACAUUUCAAAGAUAGCUUUUCGUACUCGGUAUGGUCACUUCAAAUUUCUAGUCAUGUCAUUUGGUCUUACCAAUGCCUCUGCAGCUUUUAUGGAUUUGAUGAACUGUGUGUUCAAGCAGUACUUGGACAUGUUUGUCAUUGUCUUCAUAGAUGAUAUUUUGGUUUAUUCUCGCACAGAGCAUGAUCAUACAGACCAUCUCAGGAUUAUUCUUCAGACUCAUAGGGAUCACCAAUUAUUCGCUAAGUUCAGCAAGUGCAAAUUUUGGCUAAGAUUAGUAGCAUUCCUUGGCCAUAUUAUUUUUGGUGAUGGAAUUAGAGUAGAUCCUCAGAAAAUUGAGGCAGUAAGAAACUGGCCCAGACCCGUAUCUCUAUCAGCUAUUAGAAGUUUCUUGGGUUUGGAUGUCUAUUACAGAUGGUUUGUCGAGGUAUUUUCUUCUAUUGCAUCUCCCAUGUCCAGAUUGACUCAGAAGAAGAUUAAGUUUCAGUGGUCAGAUUCAUGUGAGAAGAGCUUUCAAGAGUUGAAGACUCGACUCACCUUUGCUCCUGUUCUAACUAUUCCAGAUGGUUCAGAUGGUUUUGUAGUCUAUUAUGAUAUAGCCAGAGUGGGUUUAGGUUGUGUCCUCAUGCAGCAUGGUAAGGUCAUAGCCCAUGCCUCCAGACAGUUAAAGCCACAUGAGAAGAAUUAUCCUACUCAUGAUUUUGAGUUAACAAUGGUAGUUUUUGCCUUGAAUAUUUGGAGGCAUUAUCUCGAUGGAGUUCAUGUAGAUGUCUUCACAGACCAUAAAAGCCUCCAGUAUGUCUUUUACCAAAAAGAUCUCAAUCUUUUCCAGAGAAGGUGGUUAGAGCUCUUGAAGGAUUAUGACAUGAGUGUUCUUUAUCAUCCGGGAAAGGCCAAUAUUGUGGCCGACUCUCGAUGGGUACUAUUUCUCACGUUGAGGAUAGUAAGAAAAAGAUGGCUUAGGAGAUCCAUCAGCUUGCCAGACUAGGGGUUCACUUAGUCGAUUCUUCUGAGGGUGGUGUAUGUGUUCAUAGUAGUUCAGAGUCAUCUCUAGUUUCCUAAGUGAAAUAGAAACAAGACAGGGAUCCUAGUCUUUUCAAGCUCAAAGAGUCAGUUUAGAAUCAGAAAGUCGAGGUUUUCUCCCAAGGGGGAGAUGGUGUUCUUCGUUGUCAGGGUCGUCUAUGUGUUCCAGGUGUAGAUGAAUUGAGGCAAUGAAUACUUGUAGAAGCGCAUGGUUCGUGAUACUCUAUUCAUCCAGGGGCCACUAAGAUGUACUGUGACAUGGGGGAGAUCUAUUGGUGGAGUGGGAUGAAGAGAGAUGUUGCAGAGUUUUUGGCUACGUGCUCUACAUGUCAGCAAGUUAAGAUAGAGCAUCAGAAACCUAGUGGUUCCAUGCAAAAGUUCACCAUUCCUACUUGGAAGUGGGAAGAAGUUAAAAUGGACUUCGUGAUGGGUUUACCUAGAACUCGUCAUUAGCAUGAUUCAGUUUAGGUCAUUAUAGAUAGAAUGACCAAGUUAGCUCAUUUCCUUCCUGUUCGUACUUCUUAUUCCGCCGAGGAUUAUGCCAAACUCUAUAUCAGGGAGUUAGUAAGGUUAUAAGGUGUUCCACUAUCUAUCAUCUCAGACAGAGGUACCCAGUUCACUUCUCACUUUUGGAAAGCAUUCCAAAAGGGUCUCGGUACCCAAGUCUAUCUCAUCAUAGCAUUUCAUCCUCAGAUAGAUGGUCAAGUAGAGAGGACUAUUCAGACUCUUAAAGAUAUGCUAAGGGCGUGUGUAAUUGACUUCAAGGGAAGUUGGGAUGACCACUUGCCUUUGAUUGAGUUUGCAUACAACAAUAGUUAUCAUUCUAGUAUUUAGAUGGCUCCAUUUGAAGCUCUAUAUGGUAGGAGAUGUAGAUCACCGAUUGGUUGGUUUGAAGUUAGUGAGGCCUCAAUCAUAGGUCCUGACUUAGUAUUCGACACCUUAGAGAAAGUUCAGUUGAUCAGAGAGAGACUCCGGGCUUUUCAAAGCCGACAGAAGUCCUAUGCAGAUGUUCGUAGAAAGGAUCCUGAGUUUGAGGUCAAUCACUAUGUCUAUCUUAAGAUCUCUCCCAUGAAGGGAGUAAAAAGGUUCAACAUGAAAGGAAAACUCAGUCCCCGGUAUGUCGGUCCCUUCAGAAUUCUUUGUCGCUUCGACAAGGUAGCUUAUGAGCUUGAGUUGCCUUCAGAUCUAGCCUCAGUCCAUCCAAUCUUUAAUGUAUCUUUGCUAAAGAAAUGCAUAGGUGACCCAACAGUUUUUAUCUCUAUUCAGAGCAGCGAUAUUCAAAACAGCCUCUCUUAUGAAGAGAUUCCAGUCGAAAUCUUAGAUUAUUAGACUCGUAGAUUGAGGAACAAAAAAGUCCCUCUAGUCAAGGUUCUAUGGCGAAAUCAGUCUCAUGAGGGAGCUACUUGGGAAGCAGAAGCAGAUAUGCGUACCAAGUAUCCUCACCUCUUUCCCGCCAAUUCAGAUCAAGCUCAAGGUAACAGUUUUCCUUAAUCUUAUUCAGUUUCACAUUUAUAUUUCCAGUAUAAACUUGGUACCUAUUAAUCGUUUCAUACUCAGUCAUGCAUUUAUGUGUCAGUUGUCCAUGCAUCAGAUAUGCAUGAGUUCAGUAUGUUUAGCAUGUCAGUGAUGAGAUCAAGUUUCAAUUCUUCAUGUUCAGUUUAGGUUCUAUUGUCUUGUAUCCCUUCUCAGUAAAUUCUCAUUCAAGGAUGAAUGUUCCUAAGGGGGAGAUGUUGUAAUACCCCACAUGUUUCUAAGCAAGGAAGUGAAUAAGUAUUCCUACUUAUGAAAUCUCCUAUCCCAAGAUGAAAUCUUUAUAUGUUUUUUUUUUGAAUUUCAUGAUAUCACAUGAGUUGGAAACAUGUAGAUUUGGUUGUUCAUGAUGUAUAAUUUGAUGAUUUCACCUAUUCUUAAGAUGUGAAUGUAAGGUGUUUGAUAAAAUGCCUAAGAAACUAGAAAUCAUGCAAUAUAGCUAAAUUGUGACUAAGUGAAGGAUUUAUGAUAUGUCCUUACGUUCCAAUGACUUCUAUGUUGAUAAUGUGCCUUGUAAAUGUUGUUGGAAUACUCAUGAACUAUUCUUAUGAGAUUAUGCUAUGUUUACUUGCAAAUCCUACUUAUGAACAAGAUGUAUGAUAACCAUGCAAUCCACAUGAACNNNNNNNNNNNNNNNNNNNNNNNNNNNNNNNNNNNNNNNNNNNNNNNNNNNNNNNNNNNNNNNNNNNNNNNNNNNNNNNNNNNNNNNNNNNNNNNNNNNNNNNNNNNNNNNNNNNNNNNNNAAUCCAUAUGAACUUCCAUGCUAUUGGUAUGUGUUACCAAUAUGAUUAUGCAAUGAACAUGAUAUUAAGAUUGUGCAAGUACUUCCAUGUGAUAUGAAAUCCUUUCCAUGCAAUACAUUGUUGAGAACCAUGCUUAGUAUAAGAUCCCUACUUAUGAUAUUAUAAAUUAUGGACUCUACUCUUAUGAUCAAGUCAGUCAUGUGUGCCAGUUUCCUUCUAUCGAGUCCUGGGGUACUUGUACCCAAAAACUAUAUCUAUGUGCCUAGAUCCAUGUCAUGUUUCACGAUAUCCGAACUCAAGCUAUGAUUACAUAGACUUCAGUCAGUCAUGUGACUCAGGAAAACCUCAUGAUCUUAGUCCAUUGUCAGAUAUCAGUAACAUUUCACCAGUCAAUGGAAUUCAGUAAGAUUAAGUCAUGCACAAUCAAUUAUUCAUGUCCAGUACCUCUAGAUGGGAGUAGAGAUUAGCGCCGAUUGAACCCAAGGAUGGGAACUCACCCGCCAGUUCAGGGUGUGAUUCUUAGUAGUCAUCCUUGUGUUUCAGAACUACGUAGCCAGCGUAGGUUGAGACAUCUUAACCCAUUAGAUUAGGGUUGAUGAGGUGGCUUAACCCGUCAGUUUAGGGUUCCCACUGUUCUCACUGAGUACUCGCCAGAUAAGGGUCACUCAUAGGCUGUCCUUACUUGUGGAACGGUAUUGACACCCCUUCAGUCGGGGCAGAGAUUGGACCCCAGCUUAGCCAUAACGGCAUACAUAGGGCAUAUCGGUUAAACACUACUUCCCUCAGUUUCAGUAUCAGUCUCAGUAAAAGAACUCAGGGCGUUCUUCAGAUUUCAGUAUAUACAGGAUUGUCAGAUACAGUCAUCCAUGUUAUCAGUUUCAGUAUUAGUCAUGAUAGUUAUCAGUAAACUAUGUAUUAGCUAACAGGUCAUGCUAUCACGUAUUCACUGUCCCAGUUUCUAUAUAUGUGUGUUUGCACUCCCACGUUCAUAUUAGUCAGUCAGUGUUGUUCAUGCAUGAAACCCUUUAUGUUCAGCCUACGUUCCUCGUAUACUUAGUACUCUAGUUGUACUGGCGCAUUUGCGCUACGGUGAUUUCUUUUCAUGUUUCACCAUAGGUUCCGAGACACGAGUUCCAGCCCAGCUGUAGCGAAAUCAUUUCAGUCGCAGAGACACGGUGAGUCCUCAUUGAUUUGAGGACAAUAUGAUUUGAUUCAUUUAUUUAUUUCUUCAAUUCAUUUUUACGAAGUUAGUUAGAGACAUGUUCCUUCAACUCCUUAUUUAGAUAGUUUAGAGGCUUUCAGAUUUAUGUUCAGAUUUACAUUCAGAUUGAGUUAUUUUGGGUAUUUUCACCCACAUGAUUGUAUUCAUUUGAACCUUGUGGCCUUACAGUUCUAUGUAUUACACAUUAUUAUAUCAUGAUUUGCAGUAUACAGGUACAGAUAUCAGUCAUGGGUUAUCUUGUGGUCCCUAAGGAUCAUAACCACCGUGUAGCAUUCCGGUUCAGCGAAUCGGGGUGUUACAGUUUACCUCUCACUUUUGGAAAAGCAUUUUAGAAGGGCCUUGGUACCCAAGUUCACCUUAGUACAACUUUUCAUCCUCAGAUAGAUGGUCAGGAAGAAUGGGCCAUUCAGACUUUACAGGACAUGUUGAGGGCAUGUGUUAUUGAUUUUAUGGGUAGUUGGGAUGACCACUUACCUUUGAUUUAGUUUUUCUAUAACAAUAGCUAUUACUCCAAUAUUUAGAUGGCUUCAUUUGAGGCUCUCUAUCGAAGGAGAUGAAAAUCUCCUAUUAGUUGGUUUGAAGAAGGUGAGGCUACUUUGAUAGGGCCAGAUUCAAUGUUUGAGGCGAUAGAGAAAGUUUAGUUAAUUCAAGAGAGGCUGAAGACACCCCAAAGUUGUCAGAAAUCUUAUGUAGAUGUGAGGAGAAGAGAUCUUGAGUUUGAUGUUGGUGACUUGGUUUAUUUGAAGAUUUCACCUAGCAAAAGAGUGAAGAGAUUUGGCAAUAAAGGGAAACUCAUCCCCCGCUAUGUUGGCCUAUAGAGAAUCUUAAGCUAUUUUGGGAAGGUAGAUUAUGAUUUAGAGUUGCCUGCAUAUUUGUCAUCAGUGCAUCCAGUGUUUCAUGUCUUUUUAUUAAAGAAAUGUAUUGGAGACCCAAUUUCAGUUAUGCCCUUAGAGAGUGUGGAGGUUAAAGAUAAUCUCUCAUAUGAAGAAAUCCCAGUUGAGAUCCUUGACUACCUGACUCAUAGGUUAAGGAACAAAGAGGUUCCCUUGGUGAAAGUUCUAUGAUGAAAUCAGUUUGUUGAGGGAGCUAUUUGGGAAGCAGAAGUAAAUAUGUGUGCCAAGUAUCGUCAUCUAUUCCCCCCAAAUUCAUACUCAGCUUGAGUUAAUGAAUUUCCUUAAAUUGACUCUUUCCGUUCUCUAUUUUAGCUAUGUAACUAUUCUCAUGUCAAUGCAUGUGUUCAUGAAACCAGUUCAGUCCAUGUAUUAUAUCUCAAACUCAGUUUUUUAAUAACGUUUCAGUUCAUGAACAUUCAGUGUAUUGUCUCAAAUUACCUUAGUACUAUCAACCUAACCAGUCUAAAUCGAGGAAGAAUGUUCCCAAGGUAGAUAUAUUGUAAUACCCUAUGUUUUAAAGUCAUUGUACAACAUACAACUCAUGCCUUUGAGUCGUAUGGACAUCAUACGAGUCGUAUGUUCAACUUGUACCCAUGAUAGUAUGUGAUGGGUGAUAUUCUAUUUAAGGUACAACUUAAACCUUGGAAGUCGUAAGGUGAUCAUACGAGUCAUACAAGGUAAGUCGUAACUAAGUCAGUGUGAGGUAAGAUGAGAUCUGUCCAGCUUAAGAGAGGAUGAGUGCUAGUUUUAUGACUUGUUACGAGUCAUAAGUUAUCACUCGUAUCCUAAUCAGUGAAGGAUCCAAAAAUCAAGACUCAUUUUUUGAUAUCUUUAUAAGUUAAUUAAACGUAUAUUAAGUUCUCAAAUAGUUCCUAGCUGAUGAACAAAUAGAAACAUUCAUUAGCAAUUUAAGCUAUUAUGAAGAAUAUAACUAUAGUCAUAUUCAAACGAGCACGAGUUCUAUUCUACAAAUAAUAUCUGAUCUCAAUACCCACCAAUAUAUAUAUAAUUGAAUUAUCUUUCAAACAAUACCAAUUUUGCCUUAAUCUGAUAUCAGGGUGAAAAGUUAUGGCCAAAUUACUGAAGCACUGUCAAAGCUGCCAGUAGGGUACGACUCCUGAUGAUGACCCAUACCCUGAACAUACGAGUCAUCAGGAGGAGUCAUACCCACAGUAGUAGGGGUUGAAAUUUGGAUUCCUGGUGAUGACUCAAGGUACGACCCGUACCCAGAACAUGCGAGUCAUACCCAAACACGUCGGGAAGACUUCCAAAUGAUUUCCAGAAGGUUUCCUAGGGUUUUUUUUGGUCUUUUCUCCCUUAUAAAUCCCAAUCCACAUCAUUUAAAUCCAAGGGGCAUUACUUUUCCUCUCUUUUCCAUCAAUUAAACAACACAAAAUCCCUAUUUUCAUUCUCAAAAAUAAGAUUAGGGUUCCUUCUCAAGAUCAUCUCCCAAAUCUCAAAGGUCAAGUUUACUUCACCAAUCCAAAAACUUUAAGGUAUGUGGGGUAUUCAUCAAUGGGUUCCUUCCACUCAUUGAGACUAAAAAACCACUUGUUGUUUUAAAAGUAAGAAUUUUAUUCUAUUUUAUGGAGUUAUCCUUACAAUUUAUGAAUCAAAUUCAUGAACUUCAAAAUAAAUCAAAUUUAAGUCAUGUCAAUAUGUGUUCCCAUGUUAUUCAAGUCACUUCAUGUUUGAAUUUCAAUUUUCCUUGUUUUAAUACCUUAAUUUCACGAUACAUCCUCAAGUUAUGAAUUAAACCAUGUAAAUAUGAUGUUUUUCCCAUGUUUAACAUAUCCUCAUGUUCAAAUUCAUGUAUUCUAAUAGUUAUUAAAGUUUACUGUCUUUUGGGUCUCUGAAUUUUGAUUUCCUCCUAUUGUUUAAAUAUUGUUAUUGUAUUUUUGUAAUCAUUCAGUGCUGGUGGGUUUUGAAAACCCGAUACCUAUGUGUUUUACAUAAUUUUUGUUUCCAAGAAAUUAGCUAGACCAUGAUUUUAUUACAAUAUUCCGAAUAUCAUAUUCAUGCUGAGACUUUACAGAACCGUACCCAGUCAUAUUAAGAAACUAAUAACCCUAAGGUCCUUCAGUUGGGAGUAAUAGUUAGCAUCGAGUGAACAUAAGGAUGAUGACUUCCCCAUUAGUAGAGGCACGAGUCAUUAGCAGCAGUCCCUAAGUUCCAUACCUACUGCGCCACCGUAGAUUAUGAGGGGUCCCCCUUCAGUAGAGGAAUGACACCCUCUUCAUUUGGGAUAUCAUCCUUGUGGAUCCAUAUCCUCAUUCAUGUAAUGGUACCCCUGGAAAGGUACACCAGCACCCUUACAACUAGGGUUACUGGUUGGAUCCCGACAACUCAGUUUGGGGCAUGUCGGUUGUAGUUAGCUCCCACAGACUCAGUGUAGUAUUUGGAAUAGAUUAGCUCAAGCUUGCAUGACCAAGUAUACAGACUUAAGUUAUUUAGUUAUGUCACAAUAGUCAUUCAGUCACUCAGAUUUACAACUUAUUUUAGUACAUUUUUAUGCUUUGUCUUUCAUUCUUAGUGUUACAUGUUCAUGCAUUCAUGUUCAAUUGCCAUAUGUUUUUUAGUUAGUCCUUACCUCAUGUACUAGUACAUUUAAAGUACUGACCGUAUACUCUUCUCUUUAUUAAUAUUGUCUUAUAACAUUGGUUUGGACGCUCAGUUUCCUAACCUUUCUUAGACAGUCCAACAUCACCCGACAGCAGUAGUGAUGAGUCCUCUUCCAUCUAGGACAUAAUAUGUUUUACCGUUAUUUCAUCAUCUAUUUAGGUUUCGUCAGUCGGAGUUAGUUGGGGGUCUAUCCUAUCAACUCCUUACUAUUCUUAGAGGCUUUCAGACAGUUAGAUAAUCUUUUAGCUGCCAGUUAUUAUCAGUUGUUUUAAUCAGACAAUCUAGUUUUUUGUGUUUAUCAAAUACUCUAGACGUGUCGUUUUAUGUAUUUCAGUAUUUCUAAUUGACAGUACCUUAUCAUUUUAUCUUUUGCACAUGUUAUAUUACUAUCAUAUUAUUCAGUGCUUACAGUAGGUACCACAUUAUGGGUUGGCUUGGGUCGCAUACAGCCUUAAGCACCACAUCACGACUAGAGGGUAACCUCAGGUCAUGAUAACCAUUGUCUUUGUUGCUAUGAAUUCAGCCUUCAUAGUGGAUGAUGGAACAAUUUCCUACUUCUUAGAUGACCAUGAAAAGAUUCCUAAAGCUAAGCUGAAAUAAUGUCCAAAAGUACUUCUCAUAUCAUCAGCGGAUUCAGCCCAAUCACUAUUUGAGAACCCAAACAACUUGAAGCUUUGAGAUUUCACAAACUUUACACCAUAGUCAACAGUUCCUUUGAUAUAUCUUAAUAUUUUUUUUGCUUCUCUUAAAUGCAUCUCACUUGCAUAAUGCAUAAAAUGAGAUAAGAGACUUAUAAAAAAUAAGAUAUCUGGCUUUGUCGUAGUGAGAUAUAUUAAGCAUCCACUCAAGCUUCUGUUAUACACUUCAUUAACUUUAUCAGCUCUAUCUUCAUUAUAAAAUUUCUCUUUUUGAUUCAUUGAUGUGCUCACCGGCUUACAGUCUUCUAUUUGAAAUUUCUUCAAAAUUUUCUUUGCAUAUUCUUUUGGUAAAUGAACACUUAACUUUUGAUUUGCUUGAUCUCCACACCCAAAAAAUAGGACAUAAUACCAAGAUCUGUAUUUCAAAAACUUGUAUCGUCUCUUAUUUAAAUUCCUCAACCAGCUUUAAAUUAUUUCCUAUUACCAGAAGAUCAUCAACAUAAAGAGAUAAAAUAUGAAUAUCAUUCCUAUUACAUAAAAAGUGGAUUCUGAUAAGUUUUUUCAAAACCCAAGCCUACCAGAUGAUCAUCUAUCCUGCUAUACCAAGCUUUUGGUGCUUGCCUUAAAUCAUAAAGAGCUUUCUUUAGCAAUAAACCUUAUUUUCUUGCCCAUUGACAAAAAAACCGUUUGGUUUCUCAACAUAAAUCUCCUUCGGGAGAAAAUCAUUGAGAAAGACCGACUUAAAAUUCAAUUGAUAAAGUUUCUAAUUUUUUUCUACUACAAUGCCUAGUAGCAAUCUGAUUGUGUCAGGGUAAUCAGCUGGCGCAAAAGUUCCUGAGUAUUCUACUCCAAAGAUCUAAGUAGCCCUUCACCACAAGCUUUGCUUUGUCUUUGUUGAUGGAACCAUCUACAUCUAACUUUUUCUUAAAACCCAUUUUACACCAAUGAUAUACCAUUUAUAGGGGGGUGCGCGGAUUAGGUAGAUUAAAUAGAUUUAGUUGUUGUCGAUGAUGUUCCUUCUAUAGGUUUAUUAGUUCUUAAUACUUUUUUGCUAUUUUCGGUUAGAUUUGCAAACCAUAGUUUUACUGAUCCUAUUAGUGUUUUUUCUAUAUAUUCCGGUGCAUCUGUUAUAUUUAUAUUAUUAUCUAAUAAUUGUUUUGUCAUAUAUCCUAUCCAUAAUUGUAUUGUUUUUUCUGUAUCUAUUACACAGUCUAGAUCUAAAAAGUUAUAAUUUUUAUUCAUUAUUUGUUUUGGUAUCCAUUUAUCA